AUGUACAACCCCAUCAACUGUUCGGAUUUCUUCAUAGGAUCUGCAUCCUUUCACGGUGAAAUUGUAACCUUUCAACCACAGGCUCUCUAUACUGAAGAGGAAACUGAAAUAUGUGCCAUGCGGCUUCACAUCGAGAUAUGUACCGAGCAUCAAGUCAGGUACCACAUUGUUUUGAAGGAUGUUGUCUGGAUCAAUCAGUUUCCUGGAAAUAUUCCUGUUCUCCUACUGAUAGUAUGCCAACAAAGAAUUUUAGAUCAUGUACAUGUGUUAUUACCUUUUAAGCAAAGGACAUACUAUAUGGUUUGUAAUUGGCAAACUAAUUUUGAUGUUUGUUCAUCAAUUUCUCUGUAG
rnacentral:rRNA from 1 species